UCUCCAUCGCAAGUUUUGAAUAAAACCCCCCUUCUUCCAGCCUCCACUUUCUUUUCUUUUACUGCCACUCCUCAGCCACCGCCUGCCUGAAAAUCGUCCGGCCUCUCCUUCACGCGCGCCCUUCGCCGAACGGUCUAGUCAGCAGUCAAGCCUCCAGCCGGUCAGACCUGCGUCCUGCCGCUCCGUCCGCCAAGGGCCGAAGCCGAACGACAACCCAACCCAGCCAUCGCGCCUUCGCCGCCGGUUCGCUCCUCCAACCGUCUGCCCGUGCCGUUCUUCGAUUGGGCCAACGACCUUCUUCAUCUAAGGCACUGCCCAGCCCCUGCUGCCUUCGAUCGCUGCUGGUUCUGUGAUUGGAUAAGUUGUUUAACGUAUCGGUUAAUUGUAGGGUCAUCUACUUGAUUUUUGGUUGGAUGCUAGGAUUAGAGUUUGAAAGAAAUUUCGUGCGCUGUCCAGCAAUUGUUGAAGUUUCUUUUGCAGAGAUUUUUGAUUGAAACUUUUGCUUGGGAGUGGUGGAACUACCUUUGGAACCAAGCCACAUUUUUUUGGGUUGAUUCAAGCCUUCCAAAGGCUGUGAGAAGAUUAGUUGUGUGGAUUAGAAUUUGCGACCAAUUUUUGAGGAUUCACCAGUUUUGUGGGCAUACUUAACUACAAUAGGAUAGGACUCAGUCUCUUGUCUGUUCAUGUGCAUAUGUGUCAUAGGUGGGGUAUCUAGAAGACAUAGAUGCCUAGUCUGAUCCUAGUGGUAGGGUUACUUACUGAUGCACCGGCGAUGACGAAUCGUGCCACUGGGACUAGUUUUUACACUUCCGUACCUUGAAAUUUGAGGCCUUAUUUUCCUCUUAAUAUUUAGUUUUACGGUUAAAAAUUUAUUUCUAAAGAUUAUUUCUUUUGUAUACUUUUGUUGAUCUUUAAAAAUUUUAGGUACCCUAUUAUUUGUUUUAACAAUUGCAUUUAAUAAAUGUCUUUUGAACUUCUCUUGUUUUAACAUUUAUUUCAAAUAACUGAACGUCGUUUUAAAUUCUUUGCAUGCAUUUAUUUUAGUAACAGCCUUACCUAAGUCCUAGGGGUAAAAUCCCAGCUCCCAUUCUUUCCCAUACUUUCUUCAACUCCUUAGAAAAAAUGGGUUUGCUCUUGUUCUCCAAGUCAAAGAAACAGGUUCUGGUGCACUCUGUUUGUUCCAGUAAAAACCAAAGCAUAGUAAGGCCCAACAAAUGUUGACUCAAAAUAUAAUUAUUGCAAGAUUUGGCUACAUAAAUACAUACCCAUGCAAACUGAAGCUUCCCUCUCAAUCCUAGCAUUAUAGAAUCCAAAGCAUUGCUUAAGUACCAUCUGCACUCAUUUGUAUAGUACAUAAAAUACUUAAAUAAAUUAAAUGAUUACAUUGUUUAAUUAGUUAUUGCUAAUGGGUUUGAUUUAGUUUGAGACUAACUCUUUUGCUGAAGACCGUAUUCCAACUUCAAACCUCUCCAAGCAGAACCUCAUAAACUCCUCACAGAAUGGCCUCUUGUAAACUAGCAUAGAGAUAUGGACAAGUAAAUUAGAAAAAGAGAUUUGUUGAGUAUGGAAAAUCUUUAGUAACCAUUGUAAACACUACUUUUAUCUAUUAAUUUCUAUGCUAAGUCAUCUACUUCCUUUUUAUAUAAUUUUUUUCAAAAGAUAUAAAGUUUGAAAAAAGGAAAUAAAACUAAAAACAAAAUGGUUAAAAA